UACGUAGGGGGCAAGCGUUGUCCGGAAUUACUGGGCGUAAAGGGCGCGUAGGCGGCACGGCAAGUCAGGAGUGAAAGCCCUGGGCUCAACCCGGGAACUGCUUUUGAAACUGCCGAGCUAGAGUGCGGAAGGGGCAACUGGAAUUCCCAGUGUAGCGGUGAAAUGCGUAGAUAUUGGGAAGAACACCUGAGGCGAAGGCGGGUUGCUGGGCCGACACUGACGCUGAGGCGCGAAAGCCAGGGGAGCGAACAGG
rnacentral:rRNA from 1 species